rnacentral:tRNA from 2 species
UGCAGCGUAGCUUAAUGGCAAAGCCCCAAGCUCAUAACUGGUCAUCGCGGGUACCGCUUCGCGGAAGCAAGCUACAACUCCCGCCGCUGCAACCA